AAGGAGGCAGUGAACCUCUCCUGCCCUUUCCUUCCAUCUCCAUCACCUUGAGCAUCUUCUGGGCAGCUGAGGUGACCGCAGAUGGGAAGGAAGGGCGCAGAGAUGAGCAUUUUCUUCUCUC
rnacentral:precursor_RNA from 1 species